rnacentral:rRNA from 1 species
CAAUAGCGUAUAUUAAAGUUGUUGCGGUAAAAAAGCUCGUAGUUGGAUUUCUGUUGAGAGCGACCGGUCCAUACCAUGUAUGCGUAUCUGGCUUGCUCUCGGCAUCCUCUCGAUAGACGUUACUGCGCUUGAUUGCGUGGUGCGGAUCUCGGGACUUUUACUUUGAGGAAAUUAGAGUGUUCACGGCAGGCUUUCGCCAGAAUACAUUAGCAUGGAAUAAUACUAUAGGAUCUUGGUUCUAUUUUGUUGGUUUCUAGAAUUGAGAUAAUGAUUAAUAGGGACAAUUAGGGGCAUUCGUAUCAACACGUCAGAGGUGGAAUUCUUGGAUUGUGUUGCGACGAACUACUGCGAAAGCAUUUGCCAAGGAUGUUUUCAUUGA